GACCCGUUGGUCAAGCGGUUAAGACACCGCCCUUUCACGGCGGUAACACGGGUUCGAAUCCCGUACGGGUCACCA
rnacentral:tRNA from 1 species